AGCACAGUUCCGCCUUGUCAUCUGCAGCAACAGAAGGGGUUCCCUCAAUCCUUUAGGGGCCUCAGCACAGCAUGCCAGAAUAUAAAACCAGCAAGGUCAGAGCCGAUGCCCUUGAUGAAAAGUUAUGGAAUUUGGAGUUCUAUUUAUCCAACGCAAGACGGACACAUUUACCUAAAGGCCCUAAAUUUUUUUGAGACAUUUUAUUGAUAACUUCUGACCAAGUAUAAUUUUUUAUCUCAAGACUAAUUAUCUUCACUAUAUGUGUAACUCCUUGAAGACUUAGUGUCCAUAACAACUAAUUCAUGAAUUUGAAUUUAUGUGGUACACAAAUUUGCUUAGCCAAUAUCUUACUCAUGGACUACGGUUAUGAGAAGUUACAGGGUUGCAUCAGUAGGGUCUCGAGGUAAUAGAUGGUUUAAGAGGGAAGAAUAAAAGGUUCUUGGAGUUCUGAA